UCAGAAGAGCUGAGAGGCUCUUUGGGAUGCUGGGGGCAGUUAGGGGAGGUGGGGGUGAGUUGGAUAUGUGGAAUUAGAGGAGGCAGCUGCAGUGGCCUCCAACACCCACAUUGCCAUCUCAGUUCCAGCUUCUCUGCAGGGUCAGCACCCAGCUGGGACCAAGGCCUGUCCUCUCUCUGUCCCCAGUACCCUCGCUUCACCUUUUGCUGCCUGCCAGCUGCCACACACACCCUUACUCACACCUUGCCAGUUGGAGAUCUCAGUUGGAGAUACUGAGAUCUCCGAGCCAGUAAAACCCAACCUAGAGUUACAGUGUCCCAUGAAGCCAAAAGCACAGCCUCAGAACAUCAUUACUGCUGCUUUGUGGAAUUGUGCCCUGAUCCUACAGAAUCCAGCCACUGGUGCACCAGGAGGAGGUUGGAGAUGAGGGAAACAGAGGGCAAGCCCUCACAGAGCCACAGUGUAAACACUGAUGCUAGUCCCUGUCCUGGAGUGGAUUUUGGUAUACAGACCCUCAUGGAUCUCCCUGCAGUGCCCACUCCCUGCCCAGCCACAGGCUGGAUAGGGAAACCCUGACUCAAGACGGUGCUCUCUAACAGUGCCUGAAUCCAUUGCAUGCACUGGGACAUUAUCACCUCCAUCCGAGCAAGAAGCAGGUUUGGAAGAGGAUGCACUGGAAAAACAGCUCUUCCUUUCCUGCAAAGGCCGCUGGUUUGAGGCACAGAUCCAUUUAUUUCUAGGAGAGCUGGCAGACACAUCCCAGUUGGCAUUUCCUUGUGCGUUGGCCGAGCCCCGGCCGGCAGCAGCAUCCCUGCCCCGCAUGCGAAGGAGGGCUCUAAAAAGCAGCACUGGAGCAGGGAUCAUGCGAUUCUGAAUGUGACAACCUCCUUUUUCUCUUUAGAUUGUUUUUACCAAGGUUCUCUGGCACUUCUAUCAAUGUGCCAUUAUACUCGUGGAUAACGAGGCAGCAAUCACGUGCAGCAUAUUAAGGAGGGUGUUUUUUCCCCUCUGUGGCUGUUUGGGGUGAGCGUGGGUGUCAGUGCCAGCCAUGCUGUGGGUCUCCCUCCCUCAUGCUGGUUUGGGUACCAGAGCACAAAGGCAAAGCGCUGGCGUGAGCUCAGGCACGCAAUAGGGUGUUGCUAUAGGCCAGCAAACACUGCUGUCCUCACAGGGAAAAUCCCAGAAUUCUAGAAUAGUUUGGCUUGGAAAGGACAUUAAAGAUCAUCCAGUUCCAAGCCCUGUGCUAUGGGUGGGGACAAAAUCCCCAGCUUCUCUCCUAGCAGUGCUGAGCAUUGCUCUGCCAGGGUCUUCAAACCCAACCAAGAAAAUGGGGGGAAAACUGAGCUUAGAGGCCUUUUUAAGCUGGUAAAAUUGUAAAUAGAUGGAAAUUUCGACUUCUUGCUAAAUAUGUAUGAUUUGAGCUGCAAAUAUUAUUUUGAAUCACUAAUUAUUGGGUUUGGCAUGUCUGCAACACAAUUAAAUUACAGCUGCCACUUUGAA